UACGUAGGGACCAAGCGUUGUUCGGAUUUACUGGGCGUAAAGGGCGCGUAGGCGGCGCGGUAAGUCACUUGUGAAAUCUCUGAGCUUAACUCAGAACGGCCAAGUGAUACUGCAGUGCUAGAGUGUGGAAGGGGCAAUCGGAAUUCUUGGUGUAGCGGUGAAAUGCGUAGAGAUGCGGAGGAACACCGAUGGCGAAGGCAGCCCCCUGGGCUAGCACUGACGCUCAGGCACGAAAGCGUGGGGAGCAAACAGG
rnacentral:rRNA from 1 species